UAUGGCCAUAUCAUAUUGAAUCACUGGUUCUCUUACAAUCACCGAAGUUAAGCAACAUCGAGCCUGGUCAGUAUCUUGAUGGGUGACAGCUUGGGAAUGUCAGGUACUACA